rnacentral:rRNA from 1 species
CGGAUUGUAGGCUGCAACUCGCCUACAUGAAGUCGGAAUCGCUAGUAAUCGCGGAUCAGCAUGCCGCGGUGAAUACGUUCCCGGGCCUUGUACACACCGCCCGUCACACCAUGAGAGUUUGUAACACCCAAAGCCGGUGGGGUAACCUUUUGGAGCCAGCCGUCUAAGGUGGGACAGAUGAUUAGGGUGAAGUCGUAACAAGGUACC